AUGGAUACAAUUCAUCAUCUCAAUAGUACCCUAGAUUAGCUUUUCAGAGAUAAAAUUGCCCUUCGCCUUUCUAACCUUCAUCGCAUCACCCUCCUUCACACGCUCUGUCUUCUCAUAAAUCGCGGUAUCUGGAUUUUGAUUGGAGGUGGAGGGAUUUGGUUUGUGAUUAAGCUUUUGUCCAUAAUUGGAUGAGAGGGCGGCUGGGGGCGACUCAUUUGUUGCGGUUGAAUUGAAUGGGUGGGCAAUGCAUUUGUUACAGCGGAUGAGGAGUAUUUCUUGUGGGCAUCGGCAGGGUAGAGGAUUUCGGCAGCUGCGACGACGUGGAGUGGACGGCGGCGAGGGCGGCUCUUCUGGAUUAAGACAUAGUUUGGGGCGGAUGAGAUCAUCUAUCCAUAAUUUAGUUGUCCCACCCGUAAAUUAUAUGGAUUGGAGAUGGACCUCAUGAAUGGAAGAAGUUGGUGGAAAUCGAGCUCUUGAUAAAGAAUUGCAUGGAUUUUGAAGAUGUUUGGAGAUUGGGCUUGGAAUUAAUUGUUUAGAAUUUAUUUAGCCCAAAAACUCUUGUUUUUAUUUAAUAUUUUGCCUUAAUAUUUUGUUAGGGGCCGUAGCCCAUUUGUUGGGAUGAUUGGCGUCACUUUAAGGGAUUAAUUCCCUAAGUCCUAGUUAUUUCCACUAGCCGCCAUGUACUCCUUAUAUAUAUAUAUAUGUUUAGUUUAGUUUUCCGAGACACAU